GUGUGUGUGUGUGUGUGGCAAGGCAAUACAUCAAAGCAGCUUAUGAUUUAUCAAUCACGAGACAUCACAUAUACCAAGCAAAAUUUAAAGUAUAUUCCUCUUGCAUUGAACUUUAACACAAAUACAGGAAGGAUUUAUAGGGUUGAUCCCGACCUGCUUGUGGUUAGUAGUCCUAUAUUAGGGGGAUGUGGGUUUCCCCUCUCGAGUCGUUGUGACUGCUUGAUUUGGAAUGCGGGUUUCGUUUGCCGGAAGUUCUGUGUAAUAGCAACACAUCAAAUUUGCUUGUGAUCAAGCAAAUUUCUUCAGAUGUAGCAUUGCACAGCUAGCAGGAACCACAUAUUUUUCAACGGACCAAUCUACAUAAUAAACAAAUAAAAAAAUCAAACUGAAAAGUA